AGAGCCGUGCCCGAAUGCUUAAGGACCACUUUGAUGGAGUGGAUUAUAGGGGUUAAACCCCCCUCGGUUCUU
rnacentral:tRNA from 1 species